AAAGUGUUGUGUGUAUAAGAUCGUUGAUCAAGGAACAAUCGUAGAAAUUAAAGAUACUUCUGACUUAUUAUAUGUGAGCUGUUGCUGUUGCUGUCGUUGACUCUGGCUUUGUUUUUCUAUUUUCGCUUUGAAAAGAGUCGAUUUACCGCAGUAAUAAACAAUCAAAACAAAUACAAAGGCGACGUUUUAUUGGGCAUGCUUGGUUAGGCAUCCUCCUUGCUCACCUUUCUCCUCCAUCGACACGGACAUCGUCAUAAACAUGGACAUAGAUGUGGAUGUGGAUGUGGUUGUAGUUGUAGUUGUGGAUGUGAACAAGCCAUGACUGGGCGCGUCGAGCUCUACGUGGGUGCGUGAUCCGGAGGCGACUCGACUCGAUUCGAUUUGUUAUAUUUAUGGUGUCUGCUGUAAGUUAGCCAAAGUCGUAGUGGAUGUUGAAGCCAAAACAAAUUUUUGGUUCGUCUAAUGGCAAAAUGCCAAAUAUUAAAAAUACCUUUUAAAACGCAAA